GCAAACUUGGUCAUUUAGAGGAAGUAAAAGUCGUAACAAGGUUUCCGUAGGUGAACCUGCGGAAGGAUCAUUAGGAAAAGAAAAAAAGGUCGAUCCCCCCCAAAUGGGGACGACCAAAUCCAUAUCCACCUUGUGUGCACCUAUUGACCGUUCGCUUUGGCAGGAAAAAAGGAGCCUUCGAUUGUCUGAUCGAAGGAGCCGAGGUGUCUCUCUCUCUUUAAAAAAGAUCACUUUCAACAACGGAUCUCUUGGCUCUCGCAUCGAUGAAGAACGCAGC
rnacentral:misc_RNA from 1 species